rnacentral:rRNA from 1 species
AACGAACGCUGGCGGCGCGCCUAACACAUGCAAGUCGAACGCGAAAGUGUAGCAAUACAUGAGUAAAGUGGCGCACGGGUGAGUAACGCGUAGGUGAUCUCCCUUUGUGAUCGGGAUAACCAGCCGAAAGGUUGGCUAAUACCGGAUAGAGCGCAGACUCUGUAAAGGAGAAUGCGGGAAAUGAGGGCGUAGCAAUACGCUCUUGCACUGAGAUGAGCCUGCGUCUCAUUAGCUAGUUGGUAGGGUAAUGGCCUACCAAGGCUUUGAUGGGUAGCUG